UGUCGGUAACUCUGUCACUCCCGAAUCCCCUUAAUCGACGCAAAUUAUAUAAUAAGUAACUUCUUACUAUAAACAAUUCAAAAUUUCUAUUGUGUACCCGGCCAUGUAUAUCCAUGAUAUACUCAACUUUGAAGAUAAAUAAAAACAAAUAAUUUAUUAUUAUUUAAGAUGUAACUUAAUUUGUUUAUUUCUUUAUUUAAGCCACUUCUUCAUUUUUAAUUUUGUAGUUAUGAAAUUUUCCUUUUACGUCAACCAUUCUAGGACAGUCUGUUUCACUUUGUCAUCAGUGCUGAAAUGGUGACCUUUGAGGAACUCCUUCAAGAAUCCAAACAAGUGGCAAUCACUCGAAAAGAAGUUCCUUGGAAGUCACCAUUUCAGCACUGAUAACAAAGUGAAGCAGGCUGUCCUAGAUGGUUCAGACAAAGCUUUCUAAUGCCAAAGCUUUCCAGGCAUUAGUUAAACACGGGAAAUUGUAUAAAUGUAGCAAGAAAAUAUGUCGAAAAAUAAAUGCAGUUUCCACUCCUUGAUAUUUGUUCUUUUAUUUUAUAAACUCAAAAGUCCCGGUUUGACUUGAAUAAUUUUUGUAUUUUAAUAAAAAACACGAAAUAAACUAUAAAUAAAAUAGACGUUUCGGUCUGCUAUCAGAUCAUUUUCAAUAUUUGAGAGAAUGAUUAUAAUAAAUACACAUUUGUGAUUAGAAUACAAAAAUUAAAAAAUUAAACACAAGUUACAAUAUAAUACAAAAAAUAAAAUCAUGUAAAAAGUGAGAGUUUGCCAUAAAGCAGUUAGACGUUAUUAUACAUAAAGGUCAAUUUUUUAUAAGUGUUUGAUUUGUAAAAUAUUUUAAAGUACCAAAUUAUAUUAUGCAGAUUUCAUUUCUAAUAAUUUCUACCAAAUAAACUUUUUUAUAUGCUUUAAUACAAAUCAUGAAGAAAUAGGUAAUCUAUUGUACAUAUGCAUUUGCAGCAUGUUAUUAGCGAUAAUAUAUCAUGAGAAGGAAGAAAAAAAUUGAUUAGAUUGAAAUAAUUGCAACAGUUCAUAGUUUAGAUGAAUUCUUAUUACAGAUUACACUCUUCAUAUAAAUUUGACAGGGAGCAUACCAAAAUCUUAGGUAAUAAAUCUAUUAUACCUUUCUAUUAUAAACAUCUCAUCUCUGAAAUGUUGCAUAUAAAAGACAGAAAAAAAAUUAAAUAAAGUGACAUAGAUUUGCUACUAGAUAUAUAUCUACAAAUUUUUAUUAUAUAAAUAAUUGAGCAUACUCUUUCUGUCUCAAGGCCUUAAUCCCUACUCCUUUUCUUCCCUUUCCCCUUAUAAGUUUAUAUUUGCUGCUUUCCAUUUACAUCAAAACUCAGAUAAUUCUCACUUGUAAUGUCAUAACUCAGUUAAAUGCAUGUUCCUUUUGCAUUCUCACAAGUGAGAUUCAACUGAGUUUUUUGCUACAAUCUGAGCAAUUUCAAGACCAUGUGCUUUACUGAGUCUUGCAUACUCACUUUAGAAGUAAGCUUAAUAAUAACAUCGAGGGUGGUCCUCCUACGAUGCCCACUUUGGCACUCAGACCGAGUCCAUUGUGCCUCAUUGGAACUCAUGAUAUACUACUUCAAACAUGUAUGUACACUAUAUUAGCUACUUCACAAUUUGUAAUAAAAACAUAAAAAUUUUAUUUAUUAGAGAUAACAUCUGCAAAAUACAAUAUGACACUUAAAAAUAUUUUAUAAAUCAGAUUAUAAAAAAUUGAUCCUUGCGUGCAAUAAUACCAAAUUGUCUAUUGUUUCUAAGUUUUUUAUUAAAAUACAUAAAUUACACUGUGUGUCUCAUAUUAAUUUUUCGCUUCAUUAUUUCUUUGUUUUAUAAAUUUUUUUCUAACACUUUAAAUGAAAAUUCGGUAAUUGUUCAGUUUAGGGAGCCUGUUCUUAAAAAUCGAUAAAAUUAUACUCAUUCAACGCGUUUUUGCAUGAAAUGAAAGAAUCUGGCAGAAAAAAGCGUCGCUCUGCCUCAAUAAGCGAAAUAUUAAUCGUUAAAGUUUUUUUUGUGAGUUUAAAGUGUCACAUCCGUUAAUGAAUAUCUGACACUUAUAACUGUCAUGCAGGUACUCCUGUAUUUUAAAUUGGGUGUGUUCUGUGAGAUCGUUCUAGAUAAUUCUGCCGGUUUUCACUACAAACUCAUAUAUAACUUUUAAGGUGCUUAAUUCCUCCUUUCUCAGUCAGCUCCACACGUUAUUCGGUGUGCUCGCUCCAACACUGUUAAGACGUUCAGUAAGAUUCAUAUCCAUUCACAAUCGUUAAAGUUUUUUUUUGUUUUGGAGGUUUAAUGUGUCUGAUCUGCUACAGAUAUAUGACACGUAUGACUCUUAUCUCAAACUCUUUCACUGGUUUUACUACACUGACUGUUAUGUAGAUAUGUGUAUGUUAUGUGUCGUAUAUAUGUAGAUGGGUCAGUACGAAUGAGUGUAUGUUUAUGUGUAUGUGUUUGUCCGCAUUGUAAUGAGCUCGGGUCCGCGUAGGUUUGCUAUGCCCAAAUGACAGUGCGGUACGGUCACCCCUGCGCGAAAUCGUUAAAGUUGACUACUCACCAGGUUAGAAUACCUGUCGUUUUGCGUGGAAAGUCGCAAACCCAUGUGCACCCAUGUGCUACAGGGAAAUAGAGAAUGCUUUGCACGCACGCGCGCGCGCGCACACGCACACACACACACCGGACGGGGGGGUGCAAGGGGAGCCUUCGGCCCCCCUCCCGCACUCACCCCGGCCAAGUCGCUAACCCAUGUAGACUUUGCUUGCAAUGUAUAGGUUGCUCCAUGAUAUGACAGGUAUUCUAACCUGGGUGAGUAGUCCUUUAACGAUUAAUAUUUCGCUAAAUGAGGCAGAGCGACGCUUUUUUCUGCCAGAUUCAUUCAUUUCGUGCAAAAACCCGUCGAAUGCGCAUAAUUUUAUCGAUUUUAAAGAACAGGCCCUCUAACUGAACAAUUACCCAAUGAUUAUUUAUGUAACGUUUAAUUUACAUGUCUAUUUUCUUCUUCUUCAGAGGCCCGAAUGGAUUUCUGCCCCU